GUUUCUCCCUUCCUCUCGCAAUUUUCCACAGACCCUGCUCCCUUGCAAUUUUUCGCCCGACGCCGCUCCACCUCUGCCUGACACCGUCGCCGCCGCAGGGUUACCACUACCAGUGGUCAUCGUCGACUGCUGUGGACCAUCUCCAGAGACCUGGGAUGCGGUUGGAGCGCUGAUCUACAACCAACUCAAAUCGACGGACCUCGGGCAGCUGUUCCUAUUGCUACCACGGUUGUUGUUGCUGCUAUCUUAACUCAAGUCGUUGCCUCCUUAGGCCGCCAGGAGCCAUUGUUGGAGAAGGAGCCAAGGGGUUUGGGCUCGAGACAGAGCCUCAGAUUUAAAGACUAUUAGGGAGGCCUACAUCUAAGGUUAGCAGAUAGAAGAGGUGUGGUGUCGCUCAAAGGUCCUGGCUACUAGUCCCCCUCAAGUUGGGUUUCCAUUGAGUUGCUUUAUAUUAUUGUUGUUUAUAGUUGCAGUUUCUUUCUAUAUCAGAUUUUGAGUAUGUUUACAUGUACAUGCAUACAUACACGCAUUAUCAUUUUUUAACUUGGUGUUGUUAUAUUUGUUAGUUAUAUUUGUUAGUUAGAGCCCUAGAGCCAAUCAUUUAAUGAU